CGGUGUGUCGCAACAAGAUAAGCUGUUGAUUAAUCUACCAACAUUCUGAUUACAUUGGUGGGUGUUGCUACAUUCGGGACGUAGAGGCCGGAGGUUCGAAUCCUCUCACCCCGACCA
rnacentral:tRNA from 1 species